rnacentral:rRNA from 1 species
CUUGUUAGGGUGACUGCGGAGGAUCAUUAUCGAGUUUUGAAACGGGUUGUAGCUGGCCUUUUCAGGCAUGUGCACACCCUGCUCAUCCACUUUUACACCUGUGCACUCAUUGUGGGUUUCUGGUAAGGAUGACACGCAGGUUUUUUUGGCUUGCAGAGUCUUUUCCGGGGCCCAUGUUUUUAUCACAAACCCUUCAGUGUUAGAAUGUUUUAUUGCGAUGUAACGCAUUUAUAUACAACUUUCAGCAACGGAUCUCUUGGCUCUCGCAUCGAUGAAGAACGCAGCGAAAUGCGAUAAGUAAUGUGAAUUGCAGAAUUCAGUGAAUCAUCGAAUCUUUGAACGCACCUUGCGCUCCUUGGUAUUCCGAGGAGCAUGCCUGUUUGAGUGUCAUGAAAUUCUCAACCUACAAAAGUCUUUGCGGAUUUUUUGCAGGCUUGGACUUGGAGGCUUGCCGGCCCUUACUAGCUGGGUCGGCUCCUCUCAAAUGCAUUAGCUUAGUUCCUUGCGGACCGGCUUUCGGUGUGAUAAUUGUCUAUGCCGUGACCGUGAAGCAUAUAUUUGGGCAAGCUUCUAAUCGUCUCUUGAGAAAGAGAGACAGCUUAUCGAAAUCUGACCUCAAAUCAGGUAGGACUACCCGCUGAACUUAAGCAUAUCAUAAAAGCGGGAAGGA